rnacentral:lncRNA from 1 species
AUACAUAUAAUAUCAGAGUGGGGCACACUAUUAGUCUAUUAGUCAAGUGGGGAAAUGCCAUUUUUCUCAAGCAUUCAAAGUAUACCAAUUUUGUGAUUAUUAAUUCAAAGCAAUGUAGUCAAACUCUAUAUCCUACCUAGGAUUGGAAGGGGUUGUAACUUCUAACACAAGGAUCAUAACACAGAUGAUAAGAUGCUAGCGAAGGGCAAAACUAAAUGUGUACACACUCACACAAACACACACAUGAAAACAACAUCAUUAUAUAAGAAGAAAAUAAUCUCUAAAUUAGAACAAUAAACUAUGUCAAUUAAAAAUUCAUAACCAUAGAUACAUAAGAGUACUCACAUAUUUCUUACGACCAUAUCCCUCAUCAUCAUCACCACGCCUCUCAGAACCAUAGCUCGGUUUCUCCUCAUCAUCACUCCUUCCAUAGCUAGUUUUCCUCCCAUAGCUUGGCUUCUCCUCGUCAUCACUCCUUCCAUAGCUAGGUUUCCUCUCAUACUCAGUCCUCCCAUAGCUCGGCUUCUCCUCAUCAUCACUCCUUCCAUAGCUAGGUUUCCUCUCAUAUUCACUCCUCCCAUAGCUUGGCUUCUCCUCCUCAUCACUCCUCCCAUAGCUUGGCUUCUCCUCCUCAUCACUCCGUCCAUAGCUAGUUUUCCUGCCAUAGCUCGGCUUCUCCUCCUCAUCACUCCUUCCAUAGCUAGGCUUCCUCUCAUACUCACUCCUUCCUCCUCCAUACCCUUCUUCCUCCCCAUAACCACUCUUCUUCCUCCCCGAUCCAUACUCCGAUUCACCACUCUCAUA